rnacentral:rRNA from 1 species
AGUGAACGCUGGCGGUAGGCCUAACACAUGCCAGUCGAACGGCAGCACAGUAAGAGCUUGCUCUUACGGGUGGCGAGUGGCGGACGGGUGAGGAAUACAUCGGAAUCUACUUUUUCGUGGGGGAUAACGUAGGGAAACUUACGCUAAUACCGCAUACGACCUACGGGUGAAAGCAGGGGAUCUUCGGACCUUGCGCGAUUGAAUGAGCCGAUGUCGGAUUAGCUAGUUGGCGGGGUAAAGGCCCACCAAGGCGACGAUCCGUAGCUGGUCUGAGAGGAUGAUCAGCCACACUGGAACUGAGACACGGUACAGACUCCUACGGGAGGCAGCAGUGGGGAAUAUUGGGCAAUGGGCGAAAGCCUGAUCCAGCCAUACCGCGUGAGUGAAGAAGGCCUUCGGGUUGUAAAGCCCUUUUGUUGGGAAAGAAAAGCAGCAGGUUAAUACCCCGCUGUUCUGACGGUACCCAAAGAAUAAGCACCGGCUAACUUCGUG